rnacentral:lncRNA from 1 species
AUGGCCAGAAGGAUGUGGAGCCUGCAUGAAAGGCUCGUGGAGCUCCUGCAGGAAAAUGACGGCGUCAUGCUCAGGAUGACCACGGUUCUCCUCAGAGCUGUAUUUCUCUGCAAAGAGGCCCCAAUGACCAGCACCCUCGCCCUGCAGCUGGCUGAGGCGCUCCUGCCACUCUUUGACAACGAGGAUAGCCAGGUGCAGUUGAGCUCCAUGUUUAUCUUCCGAGACAUGCUGGAUCGUUUUCCGGAAGAGGAAAGAAAGGCCCUGAAGGCACACGUGCGCCAGAGCCUGCUGCCACUCUCCUUCCACUGCCAUGAUGAGAACCAGCGAGUGGCAGAGGCUUCUCAGGAAACGCUGCUUUGUGCGGCCGAGUUCCUGAAGCAGAGGGAUCUCGAAAAGCUGCUGAAGAACCAGAAGCCGUGGAAGUUCACCGAGUGCCUGCUGGCAGAGGACAGCAGCAGCGUGGCCGAGCACCUGCGCCGGGCCCUGCCCUACCUGCAGAGCCCACAGGAGCCCCUGCGAGAGGCGCCGUCAGGUUCAUGGGUGAGCCACGAGCCGGGCCAGGAGGCCGUGUGGGCACAGGGCUGGCAGCGCCGCUGGCAGGGAGCUGUGCCGCCGGGCCUGACAGGCUCUGUGUUCCCAGGGACGGCCGGGCGGUACCUGAGGGGGAGGAAGGAAGAGCUCCAGCUCAUCUCUGAGGCCCUUGAAGGCAUGGCCAAUGACAUCAGUGUCCCUGUCGCAAGCCUGGCAGUUCAAACAUUGUACGUCCUCCAGGAAGCAGAGAGAGCUCCAUACUCCAUCUUUGACAAUCUGCAUGAUCGGCUCCGCAGGGCAUGGAGGAGACGGCCUCGUCUGUCGGGGCUCGGCUGGCUGCGCUGCUGGAGCUCUGCAGAGAGCUGAUCCCAGAGGCUCUGUCUGCUGGGGCCGCCCGAGCCAGC